UGACCUCAGAGGGCUGUGGAGAGGAUUAGAAGAGACACAUUGUCUAAAAUGCUAGCACAGGGCUGGCAUAAAGAGUAUGGCUCAAACUUGAUAGUUCUCUUUCCCUUUCAAGAGAAUAUAAAAAUGAAAUAAAAGCCAGAAUAAGUAAUGGGAGGAAUUAGGUGGAAGACAAAAGAAUGAUCACAUGUUGGUAUAGCACUGAAUUCGGGCUGGUAUAGCACAUUAAAUCUGAGGACUAGAUCUAGUUUCCAUUAGUUUCUCUUAGGUUCCACUGAACAGGCACCUACAUUGCUUCUUUGACACACUAUCCUUUUUUUUUUUUAAUAACUUCUAUAUAAUGACAGGUAAAGCGACUUUUCUCAUGUUGCGUUUUCUCAGGUAAUAGGUGAUGUCCAUGCAUCAGAAGUGAGAAGGUGGGAAGAUAGAGUUGUCAAGUUAAGAAAUAUGGGAAAAGCUUACAAGUGCCUUGAUAGGGAAUGUGGCAUUGAAAAGAACACAUCAUACCUUAUUUCUAGCUUGGACAGUUCUGCCAAACAUCUAGGUUCAAAAGCAGUUCAAAGCGUGGUACAAAGAAAAAAAAUCCACUUAAAAUAUCUCAGCUUGACUCUCAUCACUUUGUACAAGGUUCGAAUGUGAUCUGGACACCAACACACCAAGCUGAGCUUUGUGUGAGGAACUAAAUGUUAGACUGAAAUGGGAAACUGAAGCAGGUCAGUCUCCUUUUGUUGAGCUUCUCCUUCUUGUCAAACCACUGGGCUGCACGUUGUCGUUUUUGUUUGUCACUGAUAGCCUAUCACAAAGCCCCUUCUGUUAGGAUGCCGUACCUGAAACUCCCACUAGCCAGCAGAGCAUAAACACCAAGGUGGAGCCACCUUCCCCAAACCUCUCACACACAAUAGCUACUGCUGUCACAGCAGGACAAUUGAGUGGAUCUUAUAGUGGUAUAUUUUUCCUCAUCAUAUGCAUGACAGAAAGUCUAAUGGACCUCGUUCAUUUCUUGAGUAGCUUUUAAGGCCCUAUAAAAUGGCCUGUUAUCAGCUCCAUCAGUGUUCCCAAGAUGUCUGCCUGGGUGUCGGGGAGCCCCGGCAGCAGCUGUAUUUUCAGCCCUCCAAUCAGCAAGGAGAAGGUAGUCAUUAGCUGAAAAAGUAGAGAGGAAAACUGUUUGCACCCCAGAAGGAAAAGCGAAAUACCAGUGGCAUUAUGUGAUAAAUAAAAUUGACGGCUGUUAAAAAUGGAAGGAUUAA
rnacentral:lncRNA from 1 species